GCAAGUCGAACGCGAAAGGGGGGGCAACUCCCCAAGUAGAGUGGCGAACGGGUGAGUAAUACAUCGGAACGUGUCCAGUAGCGGGGGAUAACCUCUCGAAAGAGAGGCUAAUACCGCAUACGACCUACGGGUGAAAGAGGGGGAUCGCAAGACCUCUCACUAUUGGAGCGGCCGAUGUCGGAUUAGCUAGUUGGCGGGGUAACGGCCCACCAAGGCGACGAUCCGUAGCUGGUCUGAGAGGACGACCAGCCACACUGGAACUGAGACACGGUCCAGACUCCUACGGGAGGCAGCAGUGGGGAAUUUUGGACAAUGGGCGCAAGCCUGAUCCAGCCAUGCCGCGUGAGUGAAGAAGGCCUUCGGGUUGUAAAGCUCUUUCGGCGGGGACGAAAAGGUCCGUGUUAACACCACGGAUCCAUGACGGUACCCGUAGAAGAAGCACCGGCUAACUACGUGCCAGCAGCCGCGGUAAUACGUAGGGUGCAGGCGUUAAUCGGAAUUACUGGGCGUAAAGCGUGCGCAGGCGGUCUAUUAAGACAGGUGUGAAAUCCCCGGGCUUAACCUGGGAACUGCGCUUGUAACUGAUAGGCUGGAGUGUGGCAGAGGGGGGUGGAAUUCCACGUGUAGCAGUGAAAUGCGUAGAGAUGUGGAGGAACACCGAUGGCGAAGGCAGCCCCCUGGGCUAACACUGACGCUCAUGCACGAAAGCGUGGGGAGCAAACAGGAUUAGAUACCCU
rnacentral:rRNA from 1 species